rnacentral:rRNA from 1 species
UACGAAGGACCCGAGCGUUAUCCGGAUUUAUUGGGUUUAAAGGGUGCGUAGGCGGAUUAGUAAGUCAGUGGUGAAAGCCCGUCGCUUAACGGCGGAACUGCCAUUGAUACUGCUAGUCUUGAGUAUGGUUGAGGUGGGCGGAAUGUGUCAUGUAGCGGUGAAAUGCUUAGAUAUGACCCAGAACACCAAUUGCGAAGGCAGCUCGCUAAGCCAUAACUGACGCUGAGGCACGAGAGCGUGGGGAGCAAACAGG